UGUUUUUCCUUUAGGAUCCGGGACCACCGUUAUUUCUCCUGAUCUGCUGAAUAAGUGAUCUGAUUCUAUAGGGAAUUCCUGAACCAGGCCAGAAAGUCAGGAAAAGCGAAGCCUCACCCUGGACAGAGCCCAAACUGGCCCAAGACCUUUUCCAAACGUGGGAGCCUAAGGAUGAAGAGUUAUCUAAAACAGUUGCUAUUUCAGUCCAGAACUUGAAGUUAAAAAUGUUCGAAUGGAAAAAAAAAAGUUUAAAAAUAUAGAUGUGUAUUUUUCUAAAACCCCAUUAAGCUG
rnacentral:lncRNA from 1 species